GACCUCAAAUCAGGUAGGACUACCCGCUGAACUUAAGCAUAUCAAUAAGCGGAGGAAAAGAAACUAACAAGGAUUCCCCUAGUAACUGCGAGUGAAGCGGGAAAAGCUCAAAUUUAAAAUCUGACGGUCUUUUGGUCGUCCGAGUUGUAAUCUAGAGAAGUGUUAUCCGCGUUGGACCGUGUACAAGUCUCCUGGAAUGGAGCGUCAUAGAGGGUGAGAAUCCCGUCUUUGGCACGGACUGCCAGUGCUUUGUGAUGCGCUCUCAAAGAGUCGAGUUGUUUGGGAAUGCAGCUCAAAAUGGGUGGUAAAUUCCAUCUAAAGCUAAAUAUUGGCGAGAGACCGAUAGCGAACAAGUACCGUGAGGGAAAGAUGAAAAGAACUUUGGAAAGAGAGUUAAACAGUACGUGAAAUUGCUGAAAGGGAAACGCUUGAAGUCAG
rnacentral:rRNA from 1 species